ACUCUGGUGUCUCGCCAUGGCCUGGAUCCCUCUCCUGCUUCCCCUCCUCACUCUCUGUACAGGCUCUGAGGCCUCCUAUGAGCUGACACAGCCACCCUCGGUUUCGGUGUCCCCAGGACAGACGGCCAGGAUCACCUGCUCUGGAGAUAUACUGGCAAAAAAAUAUGCUCAGUGGUACCAGCAGAAGCCAGGCCAGGCCCCUGUGCUGGUGAUAUAUAAAGAUAGCGAGAGGCCCUCAGGGAUCCCUGAGCGAUUCUCUGGCUCCAGCUCAGGGACAACAGUCACCUUGACCAUCAGUGGAGUCCAGGCAGAAGAUGAGGCUAUUACUGUCAAUCAGUAGACAGCAGUGAUACUUAUCCCACAGUGUCACAAGCAGACAGGGAAGUGAGACAUAAACGCCUCCUCCUCUAUUUCAUCCUCUUCCUCCUGUCCCAGAAGACACUGUGGACAAAACCAUGA